AAAAAAACAAAGAAAAAAAAGAGAAUCUUAUCGUUUUGCCCCGCCAUUUCCAGGUUCAUUACCUCUUUCUUUGUACAGACUUUUUUUUCAGUUAAAAAGAAGAGUCUUUAAUAAGGUGAAAACCCAACAAGCCAUGAUCUUUACCACACCCCAUUGCUUCUUCUCUUGUUCUACUUCUCUUCCUUUUUCCCUUUCUAAAAAACCCAGUUUUUUCCUUUCGAAAAAACCGCGAUUGAGCACCUGGGUGAGUAGUCGAAUUCGGUCGAGUUCACUCUGUACAGCGAGUCUUAUUACCAGUCCUGACUCAUUCGAAGUUGGGAGACUAAUUGGUAGCUAUGGUUUCAUGAAUGUUACUAGCUAUUCAGGGUUCCAGUCAGGGGCUGAUCUUGAAUUUUCAUCUGGAGAUUUGGGGCAAUUGAGAGUUCAAGAUGUUGGAGAAGGGAGUGUAAAAAUCAGGCUUUAUGAAGGAAGAAUAGCUCAGGGUCCAUUUAAAGGCACACCAGUGAUCUUUAAGGUUUAUCCGGGACAACGAGCUGCUGGUAUUGAGGCUGAUAUGAUGGCGGCCAAUGAACUCAAUGCCCAUGCUUUCCUCCAGAGCAGUUCCGAAGGUAUAAGUAAGAAUCUUCUAUUACUUCUUGGUGGAUUUGAGACAAAAACAGGAGAGCAGUGGCUAGCCUUCCGUGACAAUGGUAAAUAUAGUGCGGCUGACUUUGCAAAAGCAACUAGUGAGAAAAUAUCGAGAGCCCGUUCUCUACAAGAAAAGCCUUGGAAUCCUUUUGAGCAAGAGCAAGCGUUUAAGCGCAGAACAUACUUUGUCAUUAGGUUAUUUCAGGGUGCUAUGAAUGGUUUAGCCUACAUGCAUAAUCAUGAAAGAUUACACCAGAGUCUUGGACCGGCUUCUGUUAUACUCAAUACAAUAGUAGAAAGAGAUGCCGUUUAUUUGGUUCCAAAGCUUCGAGAUCUAGCCUUUUCUGUUGACAUCAGCUUUUCAUCGUUGGAAGAAGGUCCUAGCACAUUCUCAGAGGAUCUUUGGAGAAGGGCAUCAUCUGCCGGUGCAUUUACACCUAUGGAGAGAAGAUCCUUCGGAAUUGCGGAUGACAUAUACGAAGCAGGUCUUCUUUUUGCAUACUUGGCUUUUGUUCCAUUUUGUGAAGCAGGGAUCAUGGAUGGCUUUUCUUUGCAACGGCUUUUGGAAAGCACUUUCAAACUUGAUGUCAUGGCUACAAGAGAGUAUUGUUUGGCAGAUGACCGGUUGUUAGAAGCUGUCAAAUUUCUAGAUCUGGGUGAUGCUGCUGGUUGGGAACUACUUCAGGCAAUGCUGAAUCCCGACUUUCGAAAACGGCCAAUAGCAGAAGCUGUUGCUAAUCACCGGUUCCUGACUGCUAAUGUUCUUUGACUUCCAAUGAUUUAAGGUAAAAGUACCAUGGAGGCCCCUAUACUAGAAGUUGAAUUGCAUUUUGCCCCUUCUACUCAAAAAAUGAGCAAAUUAGACCUUGUAUGUUAGAUAAAAAAACUAACUGGUCAUUCUAUUAAAAUUUUCAUCCAUUUCAAUUAUUAAAAACUGUCUCUGUACAUCAGUAUGAGGUACACGUGGCAUGCCUCUUGCCACUGUCUGGUUAUUCCAUCAACUAUGCCAGUUUUUAACAGUACAAAUGGAUAAAAUUUUUAACAGAAAGAACUGACUUGCUCUUUAAUUUAACGUACAAGGACUAUUUUGCCUUUUUUUUAGUAGAAGGGGCAAAAUGCAAUCUGACUUCUAAUACAAAAGCCUCAUGAUACUUUUAUUGUGUUCAUCUAAUUACCAUAGUAGAAGGAUAUGCUGUUAGUUCCCAAGACCUGGAAAAUGUAAACACAGUACAGACUACAGAUAUGUAAUUCUUCCCUUUUUCCCUUGCUCUAGAACUUAUUUAUUUGGUGUUAAAAUUUUGUUUGUGGCAUAAAAAAUUAUGUACAUAUUAUUUCAAGAUUGUUUGUAAAUAUUACAUAUGUAAUUCUAAUUUCUGUUUUUCUUCUUAA